UCGUCGCUAUUUGUCGCCGCGCGCUAUCAAAAACACUGGAAUAGAUUAUAAAAUUUGAAAGUAAACGUAUAAUAUUACAACAGAGGAUUCAAUUCAAUUAGUUGCCGGUCAAUCUAAAAACAAUCAAAGAUCACAUAUCACGACAUAGCAAACACAAAAAGGUUAUCCUUACAAAUCACAAUUCACCACAGUUGGACAUCAUAAAUAAAAAAACAACUUAGCCUCAUGUGUUUGGGGUACCUGGGAAGCAGAAUAGUUUGCCGACGAAGACAAGAAAGUGAAGGAGAAGAGAGAUACCAGUAACAAUCUUGAAAUCUACAUAAAAAGAGAAGAUGGAGAAAUAACAGAAUUUGAACACCAAACAUGAUAGUUUCGUAAUAAAUUAUAAGAAAUAACAAUCCUAAGAAAAUACUACACGAGCGAAAUAUUUGCUUGGUCAAUUUAAAUGAAGAAGUAAACAACGUAGAUAAUAUAGAAAACUUUAUAUCAUUAUAUUGCUACCGUUUCAUAAGUUUAAUCUACCCCGAGCUUUAAGCAAUUUUCUUAGUAGUCUCAAGGACAAAAUACUUCACUAAUGAAAUACUAACUAAAUCAUCUUCUCAAAAUUGAAAUUGGAUUAAGAAAUUACCUUUAAAUACUAAUUAAAGAAUUUAGACAUAUCACUUAAAAAUUAUACCGAGCACUUCUCAAAAAUCGAAUUACAUCAACUUUUUUAUUUGAACUGAAAAAGAAGGAAUACUAAAGAAGAUUUGUAAAUAGUACUGAUUAUAACGAAAUUACUAAUUUUAAUGAAUUUUCCAACCAAUUGCAAUCCUACAAGCUUAAAAUAUGUUGAUCAACUGUAUGAUUAUAAAUCUCAUUAACUAUAAUAUUUUACUAGUACAAAAAUAAGUACUAAAAGAAAGAUAUGUCAGAGCUAACAGGAUAGACUUUUUUAAAUCACAACACACAAACUUUAUUUUUUUCAAUUUUAGAUUUUCUAAAAAGUCAACUAGAUUUUUCACAUUCAACCUCUUUCUUCUUAUACAACCAAACAAAUUUCGACAAUAAAUAUUAUUCUAAAAUAUAUAUUAUAAAAAAAAGUUAAAAAAAAUAAAACUUAUUCAGGGUCUUCUCUUUUUUUUUUUUAGCUUGGAUUGGUCAAACCAACUUUUUUUAUAAACAACUAUUAAUCUAGAAUAUAAGAAAAUGAAGUUAAACAACUAUAAUAAUAAUGUAUAUAAAAAAAUAUGCUAGAAAAGUUAAUAUUUUGUUUAAUUCAAAACCAACGCCAUAUGUUCUUCAAUGCAAAAUUACAACAGAUACAAAGAUUUUACUCAUUCAGUGAACUGAACAAUGACAAUCGAAGUCAUAGACCCAAAUAAUUAGUAAUUUUCAUCAACCCAAUAUCUAUACACAACCACUAAAGAUAAAAAGAGAAACUUACUGACUUUUUUUAUUGUGAUGGUGGCCGGCGAUUGGUUGCAGACGGCUUGUUAGAUGAGAUUUGUGUAGUAUGAGAUUUUUCAAUUAAGGUUAUUCCUAACAUUUUUGUAUUCCUUUAGGUAAUUUUUAGACCUAAAAUAAAUAGCAAUUUUCAUCAAACCAACACCCACACAAUCAAACAUUAUUAAAUAUAUAGAGAAAGAAACUUACUUUUUAGAUUUGAGAAGAUGGAAUCGUACUUCCUUGCAUCCACAUAUCUUGCAGGUGAGCACUACGUAGUAUGAUAGUUUUUCUAUUAAUAAGUUUAUAGCAGUUUUGAUCAAUCCAAUACCCACAAAAUCAAAUUAAAUAUAGAGAAAGAAACUUACUUUUGGGAUUUGAGAUGGUUGCCUGCGAUUCUGCUCUCAAAUUGCUAGUACGGAUGUGAUUGUGUAAUAUGAGGGUUUUUCUAUUAAAUGAAUUCUGUUAUGAAAUAAUAUAAAAGACAAGAACAAUAAUGUAAGAACAAGAGUAAAUAGAGAGAAGAGUAGACAGAGUUCUUGUUACUGAUACUUAGAGAAUGUUAGGAGUGAUUACAAUGGUAGAGAGCACCUCUAUUUAUAGGAAGGAGAAUGAUUUAGCUACCAAGAAUAGAACUCUAGAAUUUAUCUAAUUAAAGACAUUCACCUUAAAUAGAACUGUAUUUAUAACAAAUUCCUUACCUUUUCUAUAAUCUUUAAGCUAAGUUGAGAGGGUAUAUGUUUAGGCGGGAUACUAUUUAGCGAAAAAUUCCGUUUGCCAAAUAUUCAAUCUGCAAACCAAGACCCCGUUUCUGCUUUCGGCGGUUAUCUCUCUUCGGGGGUUGACGGACUUCAUUGGAAUUUCNUUUUUAUAAACAACUAUUAAUCUAGAAUAUAAGAAAAUGAAGUUAAACAACUAUAAUAAUAAUGUAUAUAAAAAAAUAUGCUAGAAAAGUUAAUAUUUUGUUUAAUUCAAAACCAACGCCAUAUGUUCUUCAAUGCAAAAUUACAACAGAUACAAAGAUUUUACUCAUUCAGUGAACUGAACAAUGACAAUCGAAGUCAUAGACCCAAAUAAUUAGUAAUUUUCAUCAACCCAAUAUCUAUACACAACCACUAAAGAUAAAAAGAGAAACUUACUGACUUUUUUUAUUGUGAUGGUGGCCGGCGAUUGGUUGCAGACGGCUUGUUAGAUGAGAUUUGUGUAGUAUGAGAUUUUUCAAUUAAGGUUAUUCCUAACAUUUUUGUAUUCCUUUAGGUAAUUUUUAGACCUAAAAUAAAUAGCAAUUUUCAUCAAACCAACACCCACACAAUCAAACAUUAUUAAAUAUAUAGAGAAAGAAACUUACUUUUUAGAUUUGAGAAGAUGGAAUCGUACUUCCUUGCAUCCACAUAUCUUGCAGGUGAGCACUACGUAGUAUGAUAGUUUUUCUAUUAAUAAGUUUAUAGCAGUUUUGAUCAAUCCAAUACCCACAAAAUCAAAUUAAAUAUAGAGAAAGAAACUUACUUUUGGGAUUUGAGAUGGUUGCCUGCGAUUCUGCUCUCAAAUUGCUAGUACGGAUGUGAUUGUGUAAU
rnacentral:lncRNA from 1 species